rfam:Oryza sativa Japonica Group DNA, chromosome 12, cultivar: Nipponbare, complete sequence.
UUUAAGUACAACCAUGAGUUUUCGCGUCCAACUUUAGUCAUCUGUCUUAUUUGAAAAAAAUUAUAAUUAGUAUUUUUUAUGAGAUGAUAAGACAUGAAUAGUACUUUAUGCUUGACUUAUGUUUUAAUUUUUUUUAAAAAAAAAUUAAAUAAGACGGACGAUAGACGCGAAAACUUAUGGCUGCACUUCAA